rnacentral:rRNA from 1 species
GCCUACGGGACGCAGCAGUCGGGAAUAUUGCGCAAUGGAGGAAACUCUGACGCAGUGACGCCGCGUAUAGGACGAAGGUCUUCGGAUUGUAAACUAUUGUCGUUAGGGAAGAGAAAGGACAGUACCUAAGGAGGAAGCUCCGGCUAACUACGUGCCAGCAGCCGCGGUAAUACGUAGGGAGCGAGCGUUGUCCGGAAUUACUGGGUGUAAAGGGAGCGUAGGCGGGGAUGCAAGUUGGGUGUCAAAACUACCGGCUCAACUGGUAGUCGCACUCAAAACUGCAGCUCUUGAGUGAAGGAGAGGCG